CUGCUUCCUGAGAAGGAGUGUUGUGUAGUCAGAGAGCUCCUUCCUCAGUUGGGUUCUGUAGGGACAACACAGGACAUAUGCAAUCCAGGAGGUUCUUGAAAUUCAAGUAACCUUCCUCAAGUAACAGAGGAGGUCAUGAGAAGGGGUGCCCUGCUGAACCUUACACUCACCAGUAACAAACAGUGCUUGUUGAAAGUAGUAAGUUGAAGGCAGCCUUAGCUGCAGUGGCCGUGAAAUGAUGAGCCCAAGAAAGCUAGUUAAUAUUAAAGGAUUGCCUCCGUCAGGAGGUGACCUCAUGAGUGAUGCAUCUUAACAAAGAAAAAAUCAGGCAGAACUUCUAGAACAUCUGCCUACAUGGGAUGAACAAGGGGCCCCUGUCCACACUAAAAUGUGAAUACAGAGACAAUAUCCAAGAAUCCAGGGAUGAAGAUAGGAAAGCUACAGCCCAAAUGGAAUUGAAUUUGAUCAAGGAUGUUAAGAGCAACAAGAUGAGCUCCUGCAAGUACAUCAGUGACAAAAGAAAUACAAAGGAAAAUAUUAACUGGUACCUGAAUGAAGCAGGGGACUUAAUAACAGUGAAAACAGAAAAAUCUGAUGUACUGAAUGCCUUUUAUACCUCAGUCUUCACUUGCAAGACUGGUCUUCAGGAAAUCUGGUUCUUAUAGACCAAGUUAAAAGACUGGAAAUGAGAAGACUGACCCUUGAUCAAGUAGCAGACUACUAAAGCGAACUGAUUUUCAUGAAAUUCUCAUGUUGUAUGGGUGUUUUUUUUU